rnacentral:rRNA from 1 species
CAAUAGCGUAUAUUAAAGUUGUUGCGGUUAAAAAGCUCGUAGUUGGAUUUCUGUUGGGAACGACCGGUCCGCCCAUUGGGUGUGUAUCUGGCUUGUUCUCGGCAUCUUCUUGGUGAACGUUGCUGCACUUGACUGUGUGGAGCGCUACCCAGGACUUUUACUUUGAGGAAAUUAGAGUGUUCCAAGCAGGCAUAUGCCUUGAAUACAUUAGCAUGGAAUAAUAAGAUAGGACCUCGGUUCUAUUUUGUUGGUUUCUAGAGCUGAGGUAAUGAUUAAUAGGGAUAGUUGGGGGCAUUCGUAUUUAACUGUCAGAGGUGAAAUUCUUGGAUUUGUUAAAGGCGGACUACUGCGAAAGCAUUUGCCAAGGAUGUUUUCAUUGA